AAACAACUCUCUGCACAUUCAAAAACUCACUGCAGUGAAAAUUUGCCAAGCAGUUCUGAAUACCACACUACUUCUACACAUUGGACAGACUGCAAAGAUCUGGGGCCUAAAAGGAGUGGCAAGGGGAAGUACUAGAUCUUCCAGAAAAAUCAGAAGUUCCUGUGGAUGAGUCUCCAUUCUCUUUCAAGAAAAAGCUGGAUCAGUUUUCUAGCAAAUCAAUAAAGCCAGGAAACGGGAUAACUGUGGACUUCCUGUGACGCUGCUACCCAAAUAAAAGCACAGCU